UAGAAUUUAUAGAAAUAAUUUCCCGAAAAGAAAAGAUCUAUAUUUAAAAUUAUUUUAGUCUUACCAAAGGAUGUGGCAAUAUUUAGUGUAAUAUUUAAGUAUAGGAGUGAAACACUUACACUUUUCUAGAUAUCUGGAUAAAGUUGAAAUGUAUAUAGUACAAAAAUUAGCCUUGAAGUAAUAAGAUUUUAAGGAAAGUAGAAUAGUUUAGGAUUAACCCAAACCCUGAAAUAAUUUUCUGAGGGAAAGGGCUAGUAAGUAUUAAUUUAUUUUUUAUCUAUGAAUUAUAUUUUUUUUAUUAGUUAUUUUUAUCAAUAAGAUAUAAUGUUUAAAUUAGUAUAAUGUACUAAAUAAAUUUCAGGAACUCGGCAAAAUUUAUCUUCAACUGUUUAACAAAAACAUAGCUUAAAGUUUUUUCUUUUAAGUUAUCCCUGCCCAAUGAAGUUAGAUUUUAAUGGCCGCAGUACACUGACUGUGCUAAGGUAGCAUAAUAAGUUGGCUUUUAAUUGGAGUCUAGAAUGAAAGGGAACUUGGGGAUAAACUGUCUUAAUAUUAAUUAUUUUAACUUACUUAAGAGGUGAAAAUUCCUCUACGCCCCGAUAUAAGACGAGAAGACCCUAAGAAUUAUAAUUAAAGGUUGCUUAUCUACCUAAAUUUUUGUUGGGGCAACACGUUUGGAGUUUAAUCAAGCUCACUAUUAAAUUACACAUUAAAAAAUUAUUAAAUAUGAAUUUAAUUACCUUAGGGAUAACAGCAUAAUCAAAAUUUGGUUUGUGACCUCGAUGUUGGACUAAGGACCUUUUAGGUUAACCACUUUUAAGGCUUGUUCUGUUCGAACAGUAUACCUUA
rnacentral:rRNA from 1 species